rnacentral:misc_RNA from 1 species
CAUCCUUACCCCUCUUCCUCCUCUCUCCCCAUCUCCCCUCUCUUUCCUCACUGACCGGUGGAGCGGGGCGGCGACGACUAGAGCGGGCGAAGGACGGGGCGGCCGGAGCGGAGCAGGUCC